GAUAUUUGACAAUGGGGGCAACCCCGAUCCAGCCAUGCCGCGUGUGUGGAGAAGGUCUUCGGUUUGUAAAGCACUCUAUUUUGGGAGGAAGGGCUUUAGGUUAAUACCGCGAAGUUUUGACGUUACCAACAGAGUAAGCACCGGCUAACUCUGUGCCAGCAGCCGCGGUAAUACAGGGGGUGCAAGCGUUAAUCGGAAUUACUGGGCGUAAAGCGCGCGUAGGUGGUUCAGUAAGAUGGGUGUGAAAUCCCCGGGCUUAACCUGGGAACUGCUUUCAUAACUGCUGAGCUAGAGUACGGUAGCGGGUAGUGGAAUUUCCUGUGUAGCGGUGAAAUGCGUAGAUAUAGGAAGGAACACCAGUGGCGAAGGCGACUACCUGGACUGAUACUGACACUGAGGUGCGAAAGCGUGGGGAGCAAACAG
rnacentral:rRNA from 1 species